UCUUAUGUAUAACUGUCAUUGGAUAACUAGACUGAAUACUAUAUCUAUCUAUAGUGGCGUAUACAUACAUACAUACAUAUGUAUGUACAUAUUUAAUUGGAGAAAUCAAAUAAAGACAAAGACGUUGCACAUGCAUGUUCUUCUUCUUCUU